rnacentral:rRNA from 1 species
UACGGAGGGUGCAAGCGUUACCCGGAUUCACUGGGUUUAAAGGGUGCGUAGGAGGGCAGGUAAGUCAGUGGUGAAAUCCCCGAGCUUAACUUGGGAACUGCCGUUGAUACUAUCUGUCUUGAAUAUUGUGGAGGUGAGCGGAAUAUGUCAUGUAGCGGUGAAAUGCUUAGAUAUGACAUAGAACACCAAUUGCGAAGGCAGCUCGCUACACAUAUAUUGACUCUGAGGCACGAAAGCGUGGGGAUCAAACAGG